ACAGAACAGGCCCUCCUCCAGGCUGAGGCUGAAUUCCUGGCGUGAUUAGAAGAAGAAUUUAGGGCUCGGUUCUCAGCACGGUUCUCAGGAGCACAGGAUGGGCCAAGUCCAGUGCCUGCCAACCUUCUCUGUACCCUCCCUCUGGCUGCCAAAUCUGACUUUGAUUAGCGUGUGGAGGGGAAGAAAGCAGGAAAAUAGAAUAUUAAAAUCUUAAUUCAAUUUAAAACACUGUCAUUCACAGGCAUGCCAAACAGUGAGAUGACUAAUUAUUAUGCAAAUGAGGGAGAUAGAAAAGUGAUUAAUAAUUGCACAAAUUAAAAAUUAUUGUAAACAUC